rnacentral:lncRNA from 1 species
CGGAGGUGGCGCCAGCGCUGGGCGGCGGGUCGAGCGGAGGCGGCGAAAUCCGUGGCUGGAGAAAGGGAGGGCCCGGGUGGCGACGGCGCUGGGCGGCGGGGCGGAUGGAGGCGGCGCCGGCGGGCAGCCCGAGCGGCAACCCCACCACCACCCUCAUCUCCGUCACUCUCCCACGACGGGUACCACCCCUCCUCUGCUCCGACGACCGGCGGCUCUCCUCCCCAGGCCGGCGACGCGGAUCUGGUGGUACGGGACGACCACGGAGCGGCCGGCGAGCUCCGGGCGGCGCGGCGGCGACAGCAGCUCGACGGCGUCGCCCUCCCUGUCCCCCACACCUCCGUCGCCUCCGCCCCCUCACCACCGGGUCACUUCCUCACCACCGGAUCUCGCCACUGGAUACCGUCGCCGACGGAGAUCUCGCCGUCGGAUCCUGCCACCGACCUUCUUAAGUGGUGGUGGUGGAGGGGGAGGGGGGGGGGGUGGAUUGGGGCUCGUCGCCUCGAGGAGGCCGACGGCGAUGUGGCUCUACGGCGAGGGUCGAUCCACCGCCUGUUCUUCAACUGCUUCCGAUGUCCCUCCAUAUAUCUCAGUGAGUUGAUUCGCCGAGGAAGAUGCUGACUCGCCGGAUCCCUUCAUCCUGCCAAUCUUCAUUUUUUUUCCAGUGUAGGUACAUCUCCUCUGUAUAUAGAAUGUAAAAACUGCUUGAAACAUUUUUUUUUUGGAAAGAAUGCCUGAAACAUUUAGUGUCUUUACAUGUGAAGUAAUCUCCUGACUGCUGCUGCUUCCUCUGUAUUUAUACGAUUGAUUGCAUUUGUGAUGUUGGUGCAUUGCAUACUGUGUGGGUGUUGACGCCUCUGAUAUAUAAUGCAUAUAUGCCACUAAGG